AGCAGCCGCGGUAAUUCCAGCUCCAAUAGCGUAUAUUAAAGUUGCUGCAGUUAAAAAGCUCGUAGUUGAAUUUCGGGACCAUCAUGUCGGUCGUGCCUCGGUACGUACUGGCAUUGUUGGUUUCUCCCUUCUGACGAACCAUGAUGUCAUUUAUUUGGUGUCAUGGGAAAUCAGGACUGUUACUUUGAAAAAAUUAGAGUGUUUAAAGCAGGCUCACGCUUGAAUACAUUAGCAUGGAAUAAUGAAAUAGGACGUUUGAUUCUAUUUUGUUGGUUUCUAGGAUCGACGUAAUGAUUAAUAGGGAUAGUUGGGGGCAUUAGUAUUCAAUUGUCAGAGGUGAAAUUCUUGGAUUUAUUGAAGACUAACUACUGCGAAAGCAUUUGCCAAGGAUGUUUUCAUUAAUCAAGAACGAAAGUUAGGGGAUCGAAGACGAUCAGAUACCGUCGUAGUCUUAACCAUAAACUAUGCCGACUAGGGAUCGGAUGAUGUUAAUUUAAUGACUCA
rnacentral:rRNA from 1 species